UACGUAGGGUCCGAGCGUUGUCCGGAAUUACUGGGCGUAAAGGGCUCGUAGGCGGCCAACUAAGUCAGACGUGAAAUCCCUCGGCUUAACCGGGGAACUGCGUCUGAUACUGGAUGGCUUGAAUCCGGGAGAGGGAUGCGGAAUUCCAGGUAUAGCGGUGAAAUGCGUAGAUAUGCGGAGGAACACCGAUGGCGAAGGCAAUCCCCUGGGCCUGCACUGACGCUCAUGCACGAAAGCGUGGGGAGCAAACAGG
rnacentral:rRNA from 1 species